rnacentral:rRNA from 1 species
AGUAGUUUGAUCAGUGGCUCAGAACGAACGCUGGCGGCAUGCCUAACACAUGCAAGUCGAACGAGACCUUCGGGUCUAGUGGCGCACGGGUGCGUAACGCGUGGGAAUCUGCCCUUUGCUUCGGAAUAACAGUUAGAAAUGACUGCUAAUACCGGAUGAUGUCUUCGGACCAAAGAUUUUAUCGGCAAAGGAUGAGCCCGCGUAGGAUUAGGUAGUUGGUGGGUAAAGGCCUACCAAGCCGACGAUCCUUAGCUGGUCUGAGAGGAUGAUCAGCCACACUGGGACUGAGACACGGCCCAGGCUCCUACGGGAGGCAGCAGUGGGGAAUAUUGGACAAUGGGCGCAAGCCUGAUCCAGCAAUGCCGCGUGAGUGAUGAAGGCCUUCGGGUCGUAAAGCUCUUUUACCAGGGAUGAUAAUGACAGUACCUGGAGAAUAAGCUCCGGCUAACUCCGUG